rnacentral:rRNA from 1 species
UACAGAGGUCUCAAGCGUUGUUCGGAUUCAUUGGGCGUAAAGGGUGCGUAGGUGGCGCCGUAAGUCGGGUGUGAAAUUUCGGAGCUUAACUCCGAAACUGCAUUCGAUACUGCGGUGCUUGAGGACUGGAGAGGAGACUGGAAUUCAUGGUGUAGCAGUGAAAUGCGUAGAGAUCAUGAGGAAGACCAGUGGCGAAGGCGGGUCUCUGGACAGUUCCUGGCACUGAGGCACGAAGGCCAGGGGAGCAAACGGG